AUUGAACGCUAGCGGCAUGCUUAACACAUGCAAGUCGAGCGGCAGCGCCGGCUUCGGCCUGGCGGCGGGUGGCGGACGCGUGAGUCAUGCAUCGGAACGUGCCCACAGGUGGGGGGUAGCCCGACGAUAGGAGGAUUACUACAGCAUACGACUUGAGGGUGUAAGUGGAGGACCGAAAGGGCUCGGGCUAUUGAUGGGGCCGCUGCCGCGUUAGCUUGUUGGUGGGGUAAGGGCCCACCAAGGCGACGAUCCGUGGCUGGCCUGAGGGGACGACCAGCACCACUGGGACUGAGACACGGCCCAGACUCCUCCGGGAGGGAGCAGUGGGGAAUUUUGGACAGAGGGGGCAACCCUGAUCCAGCCAUGCCGCGUGCGGGAAGAUGGCCUUCGGGUUGUAAACCGAUUUUGUUCGUGAAGAAAUCCUCUGGGCUAAACCCGCGGGUGGAUGACGGUACCGGAAGAAUAAGCACCGGCUAACUACGUG
rnacentral:rRNA from 1 species